UACCGGCACCAUUUUACGUAUUUUCAACUUUAAAUAAAAUAAUGCGACAUUUUAUAAAGUUCGGGUUCGAAAACAGGUUUGUAGGAGCUGGUGGGCCACUUAAAACGCAGACUGGGCUUGUGGGCCUUGGCCCAAGCCCACUUAAAACCUCAUCUAACCUAAGUAUUUAUAAGAAGUGAAAACCCUAAUGGUGUUCAUUUUCAUUAGCCGUUUAUUUCACUCCUUCCCAAAUUUCACCUUAUUCCAUAACCUCUCCUCAUAAUAUAAAGCCCCUUCUUGUACAAUAUACACCAAUCGACCACACACGGACACUCUCCACCUCUCGCUCAUCUCCCUCUCUCUCUCUCCAGCAAGUGGCCAACACCACUCCUGGUGGCGGCGACGGCGUCGGUUUUCCGGCAGCAAGGACGGUUGCAGAAAGUUGACGGAGGUGUGGGUGGUUUGCUUCAGGUUUGGGUUGGGUUGGGUUGGUGAUGGUGGACAAGGCGGUAAUGGACACGAAUGGCGGAGACGAGCUCCGGUCGUCGGAGAAUGGCGGAUGGAGGUGGUGACGAUCAGGCUUCACCCUCCGUUCAGAUCUGGUUUGGGUUCGGGUCACGUUCACUGGAGCCGCCCGUAAUCCGCGACGGAGUUUCAUUCCGUAACGAGUCGGAUUGUGACAGAUGAAUCCAGUAGGAUUGCCUAGAAACGCAUUUAAACUUUAUUGCUCGUUGUAUUGUAAUUUACUUUUAAUCCUGUUGUAUUCUGGUUCCAAUACCUGUAAUAAUUGCUUAUUAAUGAAAUGAAAUAUAAUUAUUUGAAUA